rnacentral:rRNA from 1 species
GUGUCAGCAGCCGCGGUAAGACGAACCGUGCAAACGUUGUUCGGAUUCACUGGGCUUAAAGGGCGCGUAGGCGGCUUGCCAAGUCAGGGGUGAAAUCCUCCGGCUCAACCGGAGAACAGCUUUUGAUACUGGCGAGCUUGAGGGAGGUAGGGGCAGGUGGAACUUCCGGUGGAGCGGUGAAAUGCGUAGAUAUCGGAAGGAACGCCGGUGGCGAAAGCGACCUGCUGGAUCUCUACUGACGCUGAGGCGCGAAAGCCAGGGGAGCAAACGGGAUUAGAUACCCCGGUAGUCCUGGCCCUAAACGUUGGGUACUAGGUUGUGGACUUGACAUGGGUUCACAGCCGAAGCAAAAGUGUUAAGUACCCCGCCUGGGGAGUAUGGUCGCAAGGCUGAA